rnacentral:rRNA from 1 species
AGGUUAAGUUAAUAAGGGCGCAUGGUGGAUGCCUUGGCACUAGAAGGCGAUGAAGGACGUGACUAACUACGAUAUGCCUCGGUUAGCUGUAAGUAAGCUUACCCGGGGGUUUCCGAAUGGGGCAACCCGAUCUUAAUGAUCAUCAUCUUUUUGAAUUCAUAGAUUAGAUGAAGCAAACGCUGUGAACUGAAACAUCUAAGUAGCAGUAGGAAAGUAAAGAAAUUUCGAUUCCGUCAGUAGCGGCGAGCGAACGCGGAAGAGCCCAAACCUGGAUGCUUGCAUCCAGGGGUUGUAGGACUGAUGUUGAGUUACAAAGGUAUAAGAUAGCAGAAACAGUUGGGAAGCUGUUCCAAAGAGGGUGACAGGCCCGUAUGCGAAAUCUUGUACUCUCUAAUCAGGAUCCUGAGUACGGCCCAGCACGUGAAAUUGGGUCGGAAUCUGGGAGGACCAUCUCCCAAGGCUAAAUACUAACUAGUGACCGAUAGCGAACAAGUACCGUGAGGGAAAGGUGAAAAGAACCCCGGAAGGGGAGUGAAAUAGUUCUUGAAACCGUGUGCUUACAAGAAGUUCGAGGCCGUUAAUGGCUGAGAGCGUGCUUUUUGUAGAAUGAACCGGAGAGUUACGAUUGCGUGCAAGGUUAAGGUGCAAAGACUGGAGCCGUAGCGAAAGCGAGUCUUAAUAGGGCGAAUCAGUACGUAGUUGUAGACCCGAAACCGAGUGACCUAUCCAUGGUCAGGUUGAAGGUGGGGUAAUACCUACUGGAGGACCGAACAAGUGGGUGUUAAAAAACCCUUUGAUGAACUGUGGAUAGCGGUGAAAUUCCAAUCGAACUCGGAGAUAGCUGGUUCUAUCCGAAAUACAUUUAGGUGUAGCCUUGCAAUUAGCUUACUGGAGGUAGAGCACUAUUUGGUCUAGGGGCCCUUCAAGGGUUACCAAAAUCAGAUAAACUCCGAAUGCCAGCUAAGUAUGUGCAGGAGUCAGACGGUGAGUGAUAAGAUCCAUCGUCAAAAGGGGAACAGCCCAGAUCACCAGUUAAGGUCCCUAAAUAUAUGCUAAGUGGAAAACGUUGUGAAGGUGCAUAGACAACUAGGAGGUUGGCUCAGAAGCAGCCACCCUUUAAAGAGUGCGUAAUAGCUCACUAGUCGAGUGCUCUUGCGCGGAUAAUGUACCGGGGCUAAGCAUAUUACCGAAACUGUGGAUGCGUAAGCAUGGUAGGAUAGCGUAAUUAACGCGAUGAAGGAUGACCGUAAGGACAUGUUGGAGCGUUAACUAGUGAGAAUUCCGGUAUGAGUAGCGAAAGAUAGGUGAGAAUCCUAUCCACCGAAUGAGUAAGGUUUCCCCCGGAAGGCUCGUCCGCGGGGGGUUAGUCGGGACCUAAGGCGAGGCUGAAAAGCGUAGUCGAUGGACAACAGGUUGAUAUUCCUGUACCGAUAUUUAAUUGCCGAAGGAAGGACGCAGAAGGAUAACACAGGCCACUAUUGGAUGUGGUUUUAAACAGUUAGUCUUCAUAAGAGUCAAAUGCUUUUAUGUUUAAGGAUAAGCUGUGAAUGUACCAAGUUUACUUGGAAAUUGUGUGAUUUCACGCUGCUGAAAAAAGUUUCGUAGGAAGAAAAUAUUGCCCGUACCGCAAACCGACACAGGUACUCAAGUGGAGAACACUAAGGUGAGCGAGUGAACUAUUGUUAAGGAACUCUGCAAAAUGAGUCCGUAACUUCGGAAGAAGGACUGCUGGUUUUAUACCAGCCGCAGCAAAUAGGCCCAAACAACUGUUUAUCAAAAACACAGGUUUCUGCAAAAUCGUAAGAUGAAGUAUAGGGGCUGACGCCUGCCCAGUGCUGGAAGGUUAAAAGGAGGACUUAGCUUCGGCGAAGGUCUUAAUUGAAGCCCCAGUGAACGGCGGCCGUAACUAUAACGGUCCUAAGGUAGCGAAAUUCCUUGUCGGGUAAGUUCCGACCCGCAUGAAAGGCGUAAUGAUUUGGGCGCUGUCUCAACAAUAGACUCGGUGAAAUUUAAAUUCCAGUGAAGAUGCUGGGUACCCGCGACAGGAC